UACGGGGGGGAGCAAGCGUUGUUCGGAUUUACUGGGCGUAAAGGGCGCGUAGGCGGCCACCGCAAGUCGACUGUGAAAUCUCCGGGCUUAACCCGGAAAGGUCAGCCGAUACUGCGGGGCUAGAGUGCAGAAGGGGCAACUGGAAUUCUCGGUGUAGCGGUGAAAUGCGUAGAUAUCGAGAGGAACACCUGCGGCGAAGGCGGGUUGCUGGGCUGACACUGACGCUGAUUGUGCGAAAGCUAGGGGAGCGAACGGG
rnacentral:rRNA from 1 species